rnacentral:misc_RNA from 1 species
GUGAGUCAUCGAAUCUUUGAACGCACAUUGCGCCCGCCAGUAUUCUGGCGGGCAUGCCUGUUCGAGCGUCAUUACAACCCUCAGGCCCCCGGGCCUGGCGUUGGGGAUCGGCGAGGCGCCCCCCGUGGGCACGCGCCGUCCCCCAAAUACAGUGGCGGUCCCGCCGCAGCUUCCAUUGCGUAGUAGCUAACACCUCGCAACUGGAGAGCGGCGCGGCCACGCCGUAAAACACCCAACUUCUGAAUGUUGACCUCGAAUCAGGUAGGAAUACCCGCUGAACUUAAGCAUAUCAAUAAGCGGAGGA